rnacentral:rRNA from 1 species
GUUGAAUCUGUGUGUCACGAUGUUGGUUCACCGCUCGCGGUGUUAACUAGCAUGACGUGGGACGUCCUACCGGUGGACUUAGCUCUACGGAGCGGUCCUAAUAUUCCCAUCGUGAUGCUCUUUAUUGAGUGUCAUUGUGGGCCGGUACGUUUACUUUGAACAAAUUAGAGUGCUUAAAGCAGGCUUUACAAAAAUGCCUUGAAUACAAUGUGCAUGGAAUAAUGGAAUAGGACUUCGGUUCUAUUUUGUUGGUUUUCGGAACACCGAAGUAAUGAUUAAUAGGGACAGAUGGGGGCAUUCGUAUUGCGACGUUAGAGGUGAAAUUCUUGGAUCGUCGCAAGACGGACGGAAGCGAAAGCAUUUGCCAAAAAUGUUUUCAUUAAUCAAGAACGAAAGUUAGAGGUUCGAAGGCGAUCAGAUACCGCCCUAGUUCUAACCAUAAACGAUGCCAACCAGCGAUCCGCCGAUGUUCCUCCGAUGACUCGGCGGGCAGCUUCCGGGAAACCAAAGUUUUUGGGUUCCGGGGGAAGUAUGGUUGCAAAGCUGAAACUUAAAGGAAUUGACGGAAGGGCACCACCAGGAGUGGAGCCUGCGGCUUAAUUUGACUCAACACGGGAAACCUCACCAGGCCCAGACACUGGAAGGAUUGACAGAUUGAUAGCUCUUUCUUGAUUCGGUGGGUGGUGGUGCAUGGCCGUUCUUAGUUGGUGGAGCGAUUUGUCUGGUUAAUUCCGAUAACGAACGAGACUCUAGCCUGUUAAAUAGGCGUAAUUUAUGGUAUCUCGAAGGCCCGUGACUCCGGUCGCGUGGUUUUUACUACCAACGUACAAACAAAUCUUCUUAGAGGGACAGGCGGCUUCUAGCCGCACGAGAUUGAGCAAUAACAGGUCUGUGAUGCCCUUAGAUGUUCUGGGCCGCACGCGCGCUACACUGAAGGAAUCAGCGUGUCUUCCCUGGCCGAAAGGCUCGGGUAACCCGUUGAAUCUCCUUCGUGCUUGGGAUUGUGGCUUGCAAUUAUUCCACAUGAACGAGGAAUUCCCAGUAAACGCGAGUCAUAAGCUCGCGUUGAUUACGUCCCUGCCCUUUGUACACACCGCCCGUCGCUACUACCGAUUGAAUGAUUUAGUGAGGUCUUCGGACUGGUGCGCGGCAAUGCUCCGGCUUUGCCGAUGUUGCCGGGAAGAUGACC